CAGGUCUCUCUCAUUGCAGGUGGCUUCUUCCAUUUGAGCCACCAGGGAAACCUUGCAUCCCCUAUAUUCAGUGAGACUGAGUCUGAUCUCUUAAUGCAAAGUUACAGAAAAGUCUUGUGUUGUCUUUUUAACCAAAAGACCUCUUAAUAUAUUGGAAUGGCAUUACACUGUAAGCAAUAUCUCUAUUUUGGUUUGCAGAAUGGAAUUUUUGUUUCAUGUCUUAGAUUUCUUUAGUNUUUUUUCAACAUCUGACAUUUCUCUUCUAUUUUUUAGCUCAUGAACAUGCAAUGUAUGUACAAUUGUAAAAGGUAAUAAAACUGAAUAUAUCAAAACGAUCAGUUUUAUUUUUCUUGUUUUGCAUUAUGUAUUUGGCCUAAAGUGUUAGAAUUACAACAGGAAGACAAGAUGAGUUGUGAAUACAUAUUUAAAAAAUACCAUUUUGUAUUAUGUAUCAUGAAAUAAUCGCUUUCUCUUGACAUAUCACCUAAAAUUGUCUGAGUUAUCUUAUUUGGAACCAACUCUAUGUAAUCAUUCUCCCUUGUGUUUAGCUAGUUUGAAUUAAAAUGAACUCAAUUAUAUUAUGAGUUGUNNNNNNNNNNNNNNNNNNNNNNNNNNNNNNNNNNNNNNNNNNNAGUGUUAUCUGUCAGUUUCCUUUCAUUAUUCAUUGUCAUUCAAGAAAAAUUGAACUGUGUCUGAUGGAAAUCAUGCUGGUUUGGGUGGAAACUGGCCACUUAAAUCUAAUUGGCUCCAUCCGUGCUUGGUCUAAGACUGGGCCACAGAAUAGAGGUACAGCUGGAGACUUCCUGGGAGCCUGGGGCCUCACCAAGGGAGCUUCUUAUAAGGAAAGAGGCGGAGAGGGAGCUCCAGAGUCCAGCCAUGGACUAAAACCUCAAGCCUUCAGUGGUGUCAUCACAAUGAGAAUAUCCUGUGUCAGGAGUGGACCUGAAUCUACACCACGACCAUAGCUGGGGCCUGAGUUGGACAUCAGUGUGUGACUUUAAU
rnacentral:lncRNA from 1 species